CCCUUCGUGGUGUCAUCAGUCAGCACUCGACCCUGUGAAGGUCGCGGAGCCGGUGCGAAUCCGGCCGAGGGAACCA
rnacentral:tRNA from 1 species